rnacentral:lncRNA from 1 species
CAAGUUUCUCUGCCGGCCGAGUCUCCUCAUCGGCCCAGCUUGGCCCGUCUGCAUCUCCCUCUCUUCCUUUCAACGACCGGCGGACCCCACCUGCAGGUCGUCUCCUAUCUCCAGACUCCCGCACGGACGCCGCUUCGCCUGCGCCGCUCGAGCUUCGCCGACGUCCCUCCGCCUUCCGACGCCCCUCAGCUGCCUGGGCCGCUCCGGCUCCCCAGCGCCCCUUCA